rnacentral:rRNA from 1 species
GAUGAACGCUGGCGGCGUGCCUAAUACAUGCAAGUCGAGCGAACAGACGAGGAGCUUGCUCCUCUGACGUUAGCGGCGGACGGGUGAGUAACACGUGGAUAACCUACCUAUAAGACUGGGAUAACUUCGGGAAACCGGAGCUAAUACCGGAUAAUAUAUUGAACCGCAUGGUUCAAUAGUGAAAGACGGUUUUGCUGUCUCUUAUAGAUGGAUCCGCGCCGCAUUAGCUAGUUGGUAAGGUAACGGCUUACCAAGGCAACGAUGCGUAGCCGACCUGAGAGGGUGAUCGGCCACACUGGAACUGAGACACGGUCCAGACUCCUACGGGAGGCAGCAGUGGGGAAUCUUCCGCAAUGGGCGAAAGCCUGACGGAGCAACGCCGCGUGAGUGAUGAAGGUCUUCGGAUCGUAAAACUCUGUUAUUAGGGAAGAACAAAUGUGUAAGUAACUAUGCACGUCUUGACGGUACCUAAUCAGAAAGCCACGGCUAACUACGUG